UACGUAGGGCGCAAGCGUUGUCCGGAAUUAUUGGGCGUAAAGAGCUCGUAGGCGGUCUGUCGCGUCGGAUGUGAAAGCCCGGGGCUUAACCCCGGGUCUGCAUUCGAUACGGGCAGACUAGAGUGUGGUAGGGGAGAUCGGAAUUCCUGGUGUAGCGGUGAAAUGCGCAGAUAUCAGGAGGAACACCGGUGGCGAAGGCGGAUCUCUGGGCCAUUACUGACGCUGAGGAGCGAAAGCGUGAGGAGCGAACAGG
rnacentral:rRNA from 1 species